rnacentral:rRNA from 1 species
CCUACGGGUUGCAGCAGUGGGAAUAUUGCACAAUGGGCGCAAGCCUGAUGCAGCCAUGCCGCGUGUGUGAAGAAGGCCUUCGGGUUGUAAAGCACUUUCAGCGGGGAGGAAGGCGGUGAGGUUAAUAACCUCAUCGAUUGACGUUACCCGCAGAAGAAGCACCGGCUGACUCCGUGCCAGCAGCCGCGGUAAUACGGAGGGUGCAAGCGUUAAUCGGAAUUACUGGGCGUAAAGCGCACGCAGGCGGUCUGUCGAGUCGGAUGUGGAAUCCCCGGGCUCAACCUGGGAACUGCAUUCGAAACUGGCAGGCUAGAGCCUUGUAGAGGGGGGUAGAAUUCCAGGUGUAGCGGUGAAAUGCGUAGAGAUCUGGAGGAAUACCGGUGGCGAAGGCGGCCCCCUGGACAAAGACUGACGCUCAGGUGCGAAAGCGUGGGGAGUAAACAGGAUUAGAUACCCCCGUAGUC